rnacentral:rRNA from 1 species
ACAAUAUGCGGUUGGCAUGACGGUACCCAACCAAAAAGCACCGGCUAACUUCGGGCCAGCAGCCGCGGUAAUACUAAGGGUGCAAGCGUUAUUCGGAAUUACUGGGCGUAAAGCGCGCGUAGGCGGUUGUUUAAGUCUGGUGUGUAACCCCGGGGCUCAACCUCGGAACUGCACUGAAAACGGGUGAACUUGAGUGUGGAAAAGGGAAUUGAAUUUCCUGUCUUAGGAUUAAAUGUGGUAAAGGUUGGACGAAGGAUCCAUGCUGAAGCUAACUUCCUAGACCGUGACUAACACUCAGGAUCAAAUCCCUGGGUAGCCCACGCCAUAAACUACCCUGGUCUUCCACCCCCUAACCAAUUCGACCUGGUCUUUGGUAACCAUUUUCCCCUUCCUCCCGAAGCUUACGCUUUCAUUUCUCCCCCUGGGAAUUAUUGUCGCAGGACUGCACCUCAAAUGUAUUCACGGGG